rnacentral:rRNA from 1 species
AACGGCCGUACCAUGCUGAAUAUACCGGUUCUCGUUAGAUCACCGAAGUUAAGCAUCAUUGGGCGCGGUCAGUACUUGGGUGGGUGACCUCCUGGGAACAAUGCUUGCCGU